rnacentral:rRNA from 1 species
AGGCCCUGGCCGGCGGGCUUACCAUGCAGUCGACGAUGACUCUCUAGCUUGCUAGAGAUGAUUAGUGGCGGACGGGUGAGUAACAUUUAGGAAUCUACCUAGUAGUGGGGGAUAGCUCGGGGAAACUCGAAUUAAUACCGCAUACGACCUACGGGUGAAAGGGGGCGCAAGCUCUUGCUAUUAGAUGAGCCUAAAUCAGAUUAGCUAGUUGGUGGGGUAAAGGCCCACCAAGGCGACGAUCUGUAACUGGUCUGAGAGGAUGAUCAGUCACACCGGAACUGAGACACGGUCCGGACUCCUACGGGAGGCAGCAGUGGGGAAUAUUGGACAAUGGGGGCAACCCUGAUCCAGCCAUGCCGCGUGUGUGAAGAAGGCCUUUUGGUUGUAAAGCACUUUAAGCAGGGAGGAGAGGCUAAUGGUUAAUACCCAUUAGAUUAGACGUUACCUGCAGAAUAAGCACCGGCUAACUCUGUGCCAGCAGCCGCGGUAAUACAGAGGGUGCGAGCGUUAAUCGGAAUUACUGGGCGUAAAGCGAGUGUAGGUGGCUCAUUAAGUCACAUGUGAAAUCCCCGGGCUUAACCUGGGAACUGCAUGUGAUACUGGUGGUGCUAGAAUAUGUGAGAGGGAAGUAGAAUUCCAGGUGUAGCGGUGAAAUGCGUAGAGAUCUGGAGGAAUACCGAUGGCGAAGGCAGCUUCCUGGCAUAAUAUUGACACUGAGAUUCGAAAGCGUGGGUAGCAAACAGGAUUAGAUACCCUGGUAGUCCACGCCGUAAACGAUGUCUACUAGCCGUUGGGGUCCUUGAGACUUUAGUGACGCAGUUAACGCGAUAAGUAGACCGCCUGGGGGAGUACGGCCGCAAGGUUAAAACUCAAAUGAAUUGACGGGGGCCCGCACAAGCGGUGGAGCAUG